UGCAACGUUGCAUGAACUUCGUGCGAAUUUUCAUAACCAACCCCCUCUCGAAACUAAAGCUCACCCAUUCAAAGCGGAAAGAAUUUAACGGAAAUUUGAAUUUUGAAACUUCUCAACAAACCAAAACAAAAAAUGGAAAAUGUAAAUAAAUAGAACUUACAUAUCAUAAGUCAAUACAGCAAUUGUGAAAAGAACAGAAUAAAGUGCAGUGCAUUGAAAACAAUAACCAGAAAAAUAAAUACAAAACAGAAAAGGAAGAAGAGAAGAAAAGGUUAAAUCACUGAUUAACCAGCAACCUUAAAUACGUGUUUGAAAUACAAACAAAUUCUGCAAAGGCAGCAAAAACGCAAACAGUUUAAGUCAAUCAAAACCAAAAAUAGGUGAUCGCCGACAUAUGGCCCCAAGAGGUGGUGCCCAGUGCUUGCUGACUGACUAGUUGUUAUAUUAUCUAAGAGUUGUGACAAAUUGGUGCGUGCGAGUUAAGCAUUAAGUGGCCUAAAAACUAAAACACCGCGGUGUUUAAACUACUACGGGCGACAAACACGCCGUCUGCAUGCAAUGAUCUAAAAAUAUUGUUUUUAUUGUUUGUUAGGGUAGUAGUAAGCCGUAAAAAGUUAAAUGAAAUCAAAAGUGUAGACAUGCUAAAACCAGUUGCAAUUUCAAGCACGUUCACUUAGCCAAGUUAAAAACAAAUCACAGCGCAUCGGUAACAUCCAUCCAUCCAUCUAUCCAGCACAGGCAUUCGAAUUACUCGUUUGUCGCUUCCUCACCCCAGAAAGACUUUGAAGCUCUCUAAAGACAGACAUCGAGAGAGAGAGAGAGCGGAUUACAACACAACUCGAGCGACAAGUAACAAAAAAAAAAACACAAAAAACAAUAUUCAUCAUUAAAAUUCAAAAACCAGAAAAACGCCAAACAUUUAUCGUUAUAACGUAAUAAACCAUCGAUCAAUGAACGCUGAACGUUCAAUGAACGUUGCCGCUAAAGAAUUGCUUAGUGUCUAAAUUGGUGUUUUUUAACGACAAUUCCCAAUAAUAAAGAAGAAGAAGAAGAGGAAGAAAAAACAUACACGAAAGUGCAAUCCACCAAAUAGAUUCAGUGUUUGAGGGAGAAACAAAAAAACAAAGAAGAGAGUGUCACACAACAACAGUUCAUAGUAAAAGUGACGUAGAGUGAAAGAGUGCGCGGUGUCGCGUCUACGUUCGACAUAGAAACAGACAUUACCGUUGUAGCCACGACCUUGAAACAUUAAAAAGGCCACACCACAACGAACCAACACUUUGACAAGCGGCCGACAAUUGUGCGCUGGGGCGCCAUCUAGAAAGUGAAAGUGAACAAAUCUUCAAUGUUUGUCGUAUUGGGUUUCCCACACAGUGAUUUGAGGUUGCAAUAGCAGCCGUUGUAAACUUUACGAAAAACUUUUUUCAAACUUCACGAUCUAGACGCUUUUUUGUUGGAGUGCAAGGCAACAAUUGCUUUGAUGUUUGGUUCACACAAAAUCUGCAAGACGAAACUCUCAAAAUCAACUCAAACAAUCGAGUGAACACGAGAAAAAAGUAGCAGAAAUUGAACAAGUUUUUAAUGCAAGCACGAACCCAUUUGCCAGCCAUCAAAAAAGCCAUUAGUCCGAAGACUUCACUCUAUUUUACUCUACACCAUUCACUAUUAUUCCUCGUGCGCUGCCAGCUGUAACUCUGCCUCAAUUGUACUGAAGUUCAAGUUUGAAUUUGGCAAAGCAAAAUCUACAAAAAUCGACGAGCACACCAAACAAUUAUUUAUUAAUCAAAAAAGGAAAAAAAACUAAGCGAAGUAGUUUUGCAAGACAACAAACAACAAAAAAGGAUUGCAAAAUUUUUACAACACUGUUUCUCAUAGAAACGAUUAGGAAUUUUUUAAAUUUUAAAAUGAGUGAUCAGGAAAAUCCUUCCUCCGCCCCAACUCAACCGCCUCCUAGCAUGCCUAAGGCAGAGGAGAUAAUAGAUCUUACUAAAGCGGAGGGCACUCCAAAUGCCAAUGACUCGGAUGAUCAGUGGCCUGCUGGUAUGGAUGCUGAUGUCUGCGAGAUUCGCAGUCAGCACAUUACGAACGGCCAUACAUUCGUGGUGACCACAGUUCGUACGGAAACCACUACGGUGUCCUCAAGCAGCUCCAGCGUUGAAGCUGGCAAGCAGCACUCAGAGGAUGAUCUUAAAGCGGUGCCUAUCGCGAUUAAGGAGAAGCCCCGCGAAGAAGAGGAUAUGGAGAAACCUUGCUCUAGCAGUUCCUGUUCAUCCCCAGAACAUAGUACCAAAGCAGUAGUACCUCUAUCCUCGUCGUUGCCCUCAAAACUCUUGAGGUUCCAUGCCAAACGCUCGGCUCAAGCCUUAUUGCAGCAAUUGGAUUCUCAGACACAAUCCUUGGACUCACAAUUUGGCAGUGAUGAGGGCAUGCCAGGAGCCUGCAGCGAUGAUGACAAUAGCAUAGAGGCUUCAGCGCCACCCAUGUCGCCACCACCCCCUCGUAAUUCACCCUCGGAAAAUGGUGAUGAAAAAAUCGAUGUUGGCAUGGGCUCUUCCAUUGAAGGCUCUGAAGAAUCUGAGGAAGAUGAUGAGCUGAAACCUCUGGCUGUGGACAACCACGUGCUGCAUGAUAUCGAUUUGACAUCACCCUCAACUUUAACUUCCAUUUCCGGUGAUUGCAGCACUAUAACCUCUUGCAACACCACCACAACCGCAGUAUUAAGUGAGGCUAAUCUAGAAAAAUUCCGCAAAAAUCAUCAACCUGGAUCUCAUCACCAUCCCCAUAUGGAUAACAUUUACUUGCAUCCGAACUUUAAAUAUGAACAAGCCUCGAAUAGUGAAGUCGCAAAUACUUCAAGCAUUGCCGCCGACCAAAAACGAGUACACCGUUCAUUUUUGACCAUGAAGAAGAGUUCGAGUCAAGAAGCUCCCGUUGAGGUAGCCAACUCCGUGGUGUCUCAAGCUACCACAGUAUCGGUGGACAAUAAAUCUCUGGUGAAUGAAAUCGACACCUUGGAUCCCUCUCUCAUACCCAGUGACGAGUUGGCAGCUGAAAUCACCGAAGCAGUGGAAUUCUACUUCUCCAAUGAGUCCAUACUCAAGGAUGCUUUCCUCUUGAAGCAUGUCAAACGCAACAAGGAGGGAUUUGUAAGUCUCAAAUUGGUUUCCAGCUUUAAGCGGGUGCGUCAAUUGACCAAAGAAUGGAAGGUGGUGGGCAAUGCUGUGCGCCGCAAAUCUCAGAAAAUCGAAUUAAACGAUGUGGGUACCAAGGUGCGUCGCAGGGAACCCUUGCCCAAUUUCGAUGAGACCAUGCCCUCGCGAACAAUUGUGGUAUGUGACCUGCCCAUGGAUAAGCUAACCAUAGAGAAGGUUUCCGAUUUGUUCUCGAAAUGUGGAGAAAUUGCCUUGAUACGAAUUCUCAAGCCAGGCAUGGCCAUACCCGUAGAUGUGCGCCAAUUCAUGAAUAAAUACCCCGAAAUGCAGCAGAAGGAAUGUGCUCUAGUCGAAUAUUUGGAGUCGGCUUCGGCCCGAGAGGCUCGCAAUCUACAGGGCCCCUUUAAGGUCUUCGAAAUGGUGGCACCCAAAAAGAAGACCGGCAAGAAAGCUGUCAUUCAAGUCACCGCCCCUGUGGUGCGUAUGGUCGAAAACUAUCGUUACUUCAAUGACCACAACUAUGAACGUACACGCGGUGGCAGUUUCAGUGGCAGCGCCAUGCCCCACGAAUUUGACUUACGCUACCGCUUGAAGCGCAACAAUUCCGAUUUUACACCCAAAACCUAUGCUACGGAUGUGCAGAAUACUUAUGUUAGCGGAGGGGGUGUAGGAGGUGGAGCUACUACCAAUCCUUAUCACCACGCCCCUGCUCAUUACAAUGGGGCUCAUCGCGGCAGUUUCCCAAGUGAACAACAGUACCAACAUCAACCAACUGCUCCGACAUACCAUCAUCACCAUUAUCAACCCAGGGGCAGCAUCAGCCAGGAGGUUGGACCCCAAAGUCCCAUUUCGCCAGGCAACAAUCAGAACUUCUUUGCCUACAAUCCAAGGCGUUAUAGCAACACCUCAACCAUUUCGGCUAGCACAGCUAAUAUGGAGCCAUCGAAACCAAUGCAUCAACAUGUCACAAACGUGCCAGCUGGCGGUGGCUCAGGUCACAAUUUACAAAGACGUCUCUCCAAUUGUUCCCAAGAAGGCGGCUAUGCCGAUGUGGUACGACGCACUUCGAAUUGUUCAGACAACGCACCAUCACGACGUGACUCCAAUUGUUCGGACAAUUGUCCUUGCUCAAGGCGCAUAUCAGACUAUGGCCAGACCAAUGAGGCAUACCGCAAGUCAUCGCUGGGCUCGAUGGGCAGCAACAGUGAACGACGCUUCUCCAAUGGUUCUAUGCAAUUCGAGAGAACCUUCUCGAAUGCAAGUGAUUUAAAUAAUGCCACCACGACCACCAAUAACGGUGGUAGCAGCAAUGGCAAUAGUUAUCAUCGCCGCAUGUCCAACGAUUUCAACUUGGAUCGUAAGCAGUCUCUGGAUACCCAACCGGGCACACCCUAUGAAGAUCCCAGUGUGGGUGGCGGCGGUGGUGGCUACAAUGUUUUUCCCCGCCGCUAUUCCAAUAACUUCAAUAACAUUAGCAGUAAAUUGGCUCAAUACGAUAAUGCCCAGUACAUCAAUGGACGCCGUAUUUCCACUGAUUCUGGUUACGAUCGCCGCUUCUCGUUCGGCUCAGAGUAUGAGGGCUCACCACGGUCACGUACCGGUAGUUUCUUGAACAACUAUAAGCACAGCGGAGCCUCAGAUAGUUUUGAUGGCCAGCCGCGUUCACGCACCGGUAGUUUCAUAGAUGGCUCGCCACGUUCACGCUCCGGCUCGUUUGCUACGCGAGCCGCCGAACACUUGGUGCGCACUCCCAUCGGCCCGGAUGGCAGCAAGGGUUUCGGUUUUCGAGGACGUAAAAUUGAGCAGACAAUAGGACCGGCGUGAGAGGCCGAAUCGCAUUGGGGAAGCCUGGGGAUUUUUAGGGAUAGGUAAGAUAAAAUGAGCGUACAACUUUUUGUUUUAUUUUAUUUAGAUUUAAGAGAACAUAAAUUAAAAAUAAUUAUAUAUUUUAUUGUUAUUAUAUAUUAUUACUAUUAUCGUAGAAACUCAAAUAAAUAAAAAGUAAUUAUUUUUGUAUAGUAAA